GACGAACGCUGGCGGCGUGCUUAACACAUGCAAGUCGAACGGGCCUGUCUUCUUUUUUGGGGGUGGGUUGAGUGGCGAACGGGUGAGUAUCACGUGAGUAACCUGCCCUUCGGUCCUGGAUAACCGCUUGAAAGGGCGGCUAAUACGGGGUGGUCCGGUUGGUCCGCAUGGGCUGGUCGGGAUAGAUUCACUGUUUUUGGUGUUUCGGCGGGGGAUGGGCUCGCGGCCUAUCAGCUUGUUGGUGGGGUGAUGGCCUACCAAGGCGGUGACGGGUAGCCGGCCGGAGAGGGUGGGCGGCCACACUGGGACUGGGAUACGGCCCAGACUCCUGCGGGAGGCAGCAGUGGGGGGUAUUGCACAAUGGGCGGAAGCCUGGUGCAGCGACGUCGCGUGAGGGAUGGAGGCCUUCGGGUUGUGAACCUCUGUUUCCGGUGGUGAAGGCCCUGUCCGUGUGGUGGGGUUGACGGUAGCCGGGGAUGAAGCGCCGGCUAACUACGUG
rnacentral:rRNA from 1 species